GUCUACGACCAUUCCACCCUGGAUACUACCAUCUCAUCUGAUCUUGGUAGCUAAGCAGGGCCUGGUCAGUACUUGGAAGGGAGAUAACAUAAGGUACCACAAUCUCUGAGCUAUGACUACUUAGCCU
ensembl:rRNA 5S_rRNA 5S ribosomal RNA